UACGUAGGGGGCAAGCGUUGUCCGGAUUCAUUGGGCGUAAAGAGCGUGUAGGCGGCCAGGUAGGUCGGUUGUGAAAACUGGAGGCUCAACCUUCAGAGGUCGACCGAAACCAUCUGGCUAGAGUCCGGGAGAGGAGAGUGGAAUUCCUGGUGUAGCGGUGAAAUGCGCAGAUAUCAGGAGGAACACCGGUGGCGAAGGCGGUUCUCUGGGCAUUACCUGACGCUGAGGAGCGAAAGCGUGGGGAGCAAACAGG
rnacentral:rRNA from 1 species